rnacentral:rRNA from 1 species
UAGGGAAUCUUCCGCAAUGGACGCAAGUCUGACGGAGCAACGCCGCGUGAGUGAAGAAGGAUUUCGGUUCGUAAAACUCUGUUGUUAGAGAAGAACAGCGCAUAGAGUAACUGUUAUGCGUGUGACGGUAUCUAACCAGAAAGCCACGGCUAACUACGUGCCAGCAGCCGCGGUAAUACGUAGGUGGCAAGCGUUGUCCGGAUUUAUUGGGCGUAAAGCGAGCGCAGGCGGUCAAUUAAGUCUGAUGUGAAAGCCCCCGGCUCAACCGGGGAGGGUCAUUGGAAACUGGUUGACUUGAGUGCAGAAGAGGGGAGUGGAAUUCCAUGUGUAGCGGUGAAAUGCGGAGAUAUAUGGAAGAACACCAGUGGCGAAGGCGACUCUCUGGUCUGUAUCUGACGCUGAGGCUCGAAAGCGUGGGUAGGAAACAGG